UUUUAUUUACGGUUUGAUUCUUAGACCAUCCGCAACGGAGGUCCCUAAGGAAUCCUUAACAUUAAUCCUUAAGGUUAAUGAAAUAUAAUAAUAAUAUUUUGGCUUAACUAACUAUGGAUCAAUCCUUCAAGAAGGAUUGGAAGGACUUGAUCCUUAAUACACGUGUCUCCUUAUCCUCCUCUUUCUCCUUCGCUCUCUCUAUAUCUCCUCCCUGGCUCUCUCUCAAUCUCUCCUCGCUAGCCCCAUCAUCGCCCACCAUGGCUCCUCUAUCAUCUUCCUCUUCUUCUUCAUCACCCAACCCUAGAUUAUUUUCAUAAAAAUUGGGGCUUUCUCAUCCGAUCCCAAUCGAGUUCUCACCUCAGGUUCGUCGAAAAUUGGGGCUUUUGCUGGAUUAGAUCAACACUAUGCUCGUUGCUAUUGGGAGUUUUCUAAAGCUCGACUCAGGAAGCAGAUUCGUAUGUUUCCUUCUCCACGACUUCUGUAUUUUGACACAUUCGUUGUUUCUUUUGAAGAUAUAAAGUUGGAAGAAUCGAGCAGUUAGAAACAUCUGACCAGGCAAAAGCCAGAGGUGCAAAUACUAUAAUACCGAGGAAGCUAGUUCAGGUAUUAACUCCAUCAACAGCAAGUGAGGGUAAUCUAGGGCCUGAUCCCGUCCAUCUCCUUGCUAUAAAAGAGUCCUUGUCAGCUUUGCUUCUGAACUUUGGCUUUAGGUGAAAAUGGAGCUAGAAAAGUGUUCAACUGUCCAGAAGUGGCCUGAGCUAUGGCCUAAACGGCUUGUGAGUGUAAAGCCUCAAAGUGUUUCGGCUGACACAAAAACAUCCAAGAAAGAUACAGAGAAAUGGUCAGAGAUUGUAUCUGAUGUCUAUCUUGAACGUUUAGCUGUAAACUGGUCUAGCGUGAGGAAUGUGAUGGACAUGAAUGCUGGUUUUGGCGGGUAACUUUUUACAUUUUUUUUUUAAUUUCUAAGAACUCCUAAAAGGGAAACACCAUUGGACACACAAAAUA